rnacentral:rRNA from 1 species
AACGAACGCUGGCGGCAUGCCUAACACAUGCAAGUCGAACGAGAUCUUCGGGUCUAGUGGCGCACGGGUGCGUAACGCGUGGGAAUCUGCCCUUUGGUUGGGAAUCACAGUUGGAAACGACUGCUAAUACCGGAUGAUGACGAAAGUCCAAGAGUUUAUCGCCAGAGGAUGAGCCCGCGUAGGAUUAGCUAGUUGGUGUGGUAAAGGCGCACCAAGGCGACGAUCCUUAGCUGGUCUGAGAGGUUGAGCAGCCACACUGGGACCGAGACACGGCCCAGACUCCUACGGGGGGCAGCAGUCGGGAAUAUUGGACAAUGGGCGAAAGCCUGAUCCAGCAAUGCCGCGUGAGUGAUGAAGGCCUUAGGGUUGUAAAGCUCUUUUACCCGGGAUGAUAAUGACAGUACCGGGAGAAUAAGCUCCGGCUAACUCCGUGCCAGCAGCCGCGGUAA